UCAGGACGAACGCUGGCGGCGUGCUUAACACAUGCAAGUCGAACGGAGUUAAGCGCUGGUUUGAUGCUAGCUUGCUAGUGGAUUCCUGCUUAACUAGUGGCGGACGGGUGAGUAACGCGUGAGUAACCUGCCCUUCAGUGGGGAAUAACGCCCUGAAAAGAGCGCUAAUACCGCAUAACAUACAGUUGUCGCAUGGCAGUUGUAUCAAAGAUUUAUCGCUGAAGGAUGGACUCGCGUCCGAUUAGCUGGUUGGUGAGGUAACGGCUCACCAAGGCGACGAUCGGUAGCCGGACUGAGAGGUUGAACGGCCACAUUGGGACUGAGACACGGCCCAGACUCCUACGGGAGGCAGCAGUGGGGGAUAUUGCGCCAAUGGGGGAAACCCUGACGCAGCAACGCCGCGUGGAGGAUGACGGUUUUCGGAUUGUAAACUCCUUUUAUGGGGGACGAACUAAGACGGUACCCCAUGAAUAAGCUCCGGCUAACUACGUGCCAGCCGCGGC
rnacentral:rRNA from 1 species